rnacentral:rRNA from 1 species
GAGCGCCCCGCAAGGGGAGCGGCAGACGGGAGAGUAACACGUGGGAACGUACCCUUCGGUUCGGAACAACCCAGGGAAACUUGGGCUAAUACCGGAUACGUCCGUAAGGAGAAAGAUUCAUCGCCGAAGGAUCGGCCCGCGUCUGAUUAGCUAGUUGGUGAGGUAACGGCUCACCGAGGCGACGAUCAGUAGCUGGUCUGAGAGGAUGAUCAGCCUCACUGGGACUGAGACACGGCCCAGACUCCUACGGGAGGCAGCAGUGGGGAAUAUUGGACAAUGGGCGCAAGCCUGAUCCAGCCAUGCCGCGUGGGUGAUGAAGGCCCUAGGGUUGUAAAGCCCUUUCGGCGGGGAAGAUAAUGACGGUACCCGCAGAAGAAGCCCCGGCUAACUUCGUG